rnacentral:lncRNA from 1 species
GCUACACAAUCAUGUCUAUGUGACAGUACCAGUGCAAUGAUUACAGUUCCAAACGUCAGCGAAUUGAAAUCUCGCCUUUCCUGCGACAGAGGUAAUCAUAGAAUUUCCUUUUAUUCCAUAUUUUAAAAAAGUUACACAUGUAAAUCAAGAACAUUUUUAUAUUUUCAACAGCAACAACAUGCGUUUUUUAACGCUGUAUGUCAUCGUGCUACUGGUAUCCCAAAUUGGGGCUAUGUAUAUGCCAGACCCUCGCGACCCGAACCUGCUCCAUCCGAUACGGCUAGACCCUGGUAGACCGAGAGUUAGGAUACAAAAGGUGUUGAUCGAAGAGCCCCCUAACAAAAACCGUAUAUUGGAGCUUCUAUACCUAAUAUUUGCUGUACCGUUGCUGUUUACUGGAGGGAGGGGUGGCUUGUUUGGCAGUGAUCCCAAUGGUGGAGGAAGAAAUGGUGGUGUUAUAACGGAAGAUCCAUGCUGCUGAUGAAAUCUACACAUGUCUGCAGAUUUACACAUGUUUUAUUCAGGGAGAGCAGAUCUAAAACUACAAAGCUCAAAAAUACUUACGUAUAAUAAUUUCUGCUUGGGGCUAAACAUUUUAAUAGACGUCAGAAAAACGUUCAUGUUGGACGCAGAUCUCAGAAAGACAUUAAAAUACCGAUUUUAGUAUUUUCAUUUGGGAUGAUACUUAUUUAUCAUAAACAUUUUACAAGGAUAUUGUUGAAGGAAAAAAUGUAAUUUUAUUUCGAUUUGUUUGUUUAAGUUCGAUGAAAACACUUUAUAAACUUUAUUGAUCAUAAAAUGUUACAUGUUAGCCUACAUGUUGUUUUUUUCUUUGUUCAUACUUCGCUUUAUGAAAUUUGGUGAGGGACGUCUUGCUAGUAACAUUUUUAACACAUUUAAGUGCUAGUAACAUCAUGUUGAAAUAUCCACUUCAGAAUACCUGAAAUUAUUGGUUAUGUCGAUAUCCUGUAAAAGAAAUAUGGAACGCCUGUAAUGAGAUCAGUCAUUUUUUAUGCAACCUUUUAUGACAUUGAUACAAAAGUAUGUUAAAAGCUGAGUUUCAGUACAAUAUUUUGUUUAACAUUUCAAUAAUCUUAGUACAUGUGUACUUGCCUUCUUUUUUAUAUAUGAUAGGUAAAUAGAGAAUAUUA